rnacentral:rRNA from 1 species
UACAGAGGGUGCGAGCGUUAAUCGGAAUUACUGGGCGUAAAGCGUGCGUAGACGGUUAUUUAAGUCGGAUGUGAAAGCCCCGGGCUCAACCUGGGAAUUGCAUUCGAGACUGAAUAGCUAGGGUGCGGUAGAGGGAAGCGGAAUUUCCGGUGUAGCGGUGAAAUGCGUAGAUAUCAGAAGGAACAUCAGUGGCGAAAGCGGCUUCCUGGACCAGCACCGACGUUCAGGCACGAAAGCGUGGGGAGCAAACAGG